GAGAGCGAGAGAGAGAGAGAGAGAGAGAGAAGAGAGAGAGAGAGCAACGUAAUCGGCCACAGACCACAUGCACACGCACACGCACACAGAUAUCAGGAAGUAAUCUGUUCAGUGCUGACUGUGCAGGGUGCUGUCUUGUAUGUAAGCAGAAGAGUGUGUACCGUACGUCAGCGUGUGUGUCUGCCGACAACAGGUUGCAAGUAUGACCCUCUCACUCUGAACCUAAGGAUCUCUGACCCCACUGGACAGACACAUGGACACACAGCUACACGGACCAACACCAUGGGCUCAAGAUUAAAAGAAAACCCUGACAGGACCUUCUACUGGUUCUUUGAAGCAUCUUGUCCAAUCGCAAGAGACAAAGAUCCUGACGUGUUGUUUCAGUUUCCUGAAGACUUCAGUGAUGAGGAAUCCCGCCAGACCCUACCAAGGUUCUGCUUUCCCUAUGACAUAGAGAGGUAAGUGAU